rnacentral:lncRNA from 1 species
GAUAGAGCAAUAGAUAUGGAUCUUCUUUAUCCUUUCACCUAUCCAAAGAUAGUUAUAUUGUUUCACAUUUAUUGUCUAUUGUAAAUAAUGAUGUUAUGGACACUGGGGUACAUGUAGCUUUUUGAAUUAGUGUUUUUGUUUUCUUUGGUUCUAUACUCCCAAGUGGAUUUACUGGAUCACUUGGUAAUUCUGUUGUGAAGUGGUCUCAUUAUGGUUCUGAUUUGCACUUCUCUGAUUAGCAAUGUUGAACAUAUUUUCAUGUGCCAGUUGGCCAUCUGUAUGCCUUUGGAAAAAUGUCUGUUCAGGUCUUCUCAUUUCCUGAUUAAGUUUUUUGUUUUUGAUACUAAUUUGUAUGAGCUAUUUUUAAGUUUUAGAUAUUAACCUCUAUUGAAUAACUCAUUUGCAAAUAUUUUCUCCUGAUCAUUAGGGCAUCUUUCAUUUUAUCACUGGUGUCCUUUAUUGUGCAAAAACUCUUCAGUUUAAUUAUAUCCCUUUUUUUUUUUUUUGCCUUGAUUCCUUUGCCUUAGGAGAUAGAUCCAAGAAAAUAUUACUACAAUUUGUGUCAGAAUAUUCUGCCUAUGUUUUCUUCUGAGAAUUUUAUGGCUUCUGGUCUUACAUUUAGGUCUUUAAUCCAUUUUGAAUUUAUUUUUGUAUCUGCUUUGAGGGAACGUUCUAAUUUUAUUCUGUUACACGCAGCUGUUGAGUUUUCUCAGCACUACUUAUUGAAGUGACUGUUUUUUCCCCAUUGUAAAUUCUGGCUUCUUUUGUCAUAGAUUAAUUGACCAUAAGUGUGUAGGGAUUUUUAUGAGCUCUCUAUCGUUUUUCUUUGAUCUAUGUGUAUGUGUCUGUGCUGGCACUAUGUUCUUUUGAGUACUGUAGAUUUAUAUUGUCUGAAAUCAGGAAGUAUGAUACUUUUAGCUCUGUUAUUAAGAUAGUUUUGACCACUUGGGGUCUUUGUGUUUAUAUACAAAGUGGCUAAAUCUCACUUGAUCAUAUCAUAUGAUCCUUGUAAUGUAUUGUUGGAUUGAGUUUGCUAAUAUUUUAUUGAGGAUUUUUGUAUCUCUGCUCAUCAAUGAUGUUGGCCUAUACUUUCCUUUUUUAUGGUAUUUAUGUCUGGUUUUGGUAUCUAGAUGAUACUGGUCUCAUCGGAUGAGUUCAGAAGCAUUCCUUCUGCAGUUUUUUGGAAGAAUUUGAGGGUAGGUGUUAACUCUUUUCUAAAUGUUUGGUAAAAUUCAUCUGUGAAGGCAUCUGGUCCUGGACUUUCAUUUGUUGCGAGUUUUCUUUUUCUUUAAUUAGUGAUUUGAGGGAGUUUCCACUGUGGCUCAGAGGAAAUGAAUCUGACUAGUAUCCACCAGGACACAGGUUCUAUCCCUGGCCCCGCUCAGUGGGUUAAGAAUCUGGCAUUGCCGUGAGCUGUGGUGUAGGUUGCAGAGGUAGCUCCAAUCUGGCAUAGCUGCGGCUGUGGCUGUGGCCAGCAGCUACAGCUCUGAUUCAACCCCUAGCCUGGGAACCUCCACAUGAUGUGGGUGCAGCCCUAAAAAAAAAAUUACCAAAUUGAUUUCAUUACUGAUAAUUGGCCUGUUCUUAUUUCUGUUUCUUCUUGGUUCAGUCCUGGAAGAUUAUACAUUUCUAUUAAUUUGUCCAUUUAUUUUAGGUUGUCCGUUUUAUUGGUAUAUGGUUCACAGUGAUCUUUUAUGAUCCCUUGCAUUUCUUUGGUGUCUUUAGCUUCUCCUUUUUCACUUUCGAUUUUAUUGAUUUGAGCCCUCUCUUUUUUUGUUGUUGUUGAGUCUAGCUAAUAUUUCCUUUAUCUUUUCAAAGAAAUAGUUCUUUUAUCUUUUCUAUUGUUUUUCUAGUCUCUCUUUCAUUUUUUUCUUCUCUGAUUUUUUAUUUCUUCCCUUCUAACUUUGGAUUUUGUUUGUUCUUUUUUAAAUUCCUCUACGUGUAGGUUAGUUUAUUUUAUCUAUUUGAGAUUUUUCUUAUUUCCUAAGGUAGGCUUGUAUCACUCUAAACUCCCUUCUUAGAACUGCUUUUGCUGCAUUUUUUAUGUUUCCAUGUUUGGGAAGUUUUCAGCCAUUAUUGCUUAAAAUAUACAUCUUUUCCUUUUCUCUUUUCUCCUCCUGGAAAUCCCAUUAUGCAAACACUGGUUUUUUAAGUUGCGUCUUAUAAGCACCUUAGGCUUUUCUUACUGUUUUUCAUUUUUCUUUAUAUUCCUCUGACAGGGUAGUUUAUUUUUUUAAAUUUUAUUGGAGCAUAGUUGACUUACAAAGUUGUAUUAGUUUCAGGUGUUGGAGUUUUGUUUCCUUAGGUAUCAUAUUUCCCUGAUUUUUUUGUAUGGUCCUAGAAUCCUUAUGUUAUUACCUGGACAUUUGAGUAAUUAGGCUCCUUUUCCAGGCAUUAAAGGUUAGAUUUAUCAAAUACAUCUUCCCUAGUCAGCUCAAUUUGGGUUUCUGUGUGUGUUUUCUGGUAAUAUCCUUGGGCAACUGAAAUCUGCUAUUAUGGUUUAUUUGGUGACAAGGCAACUAUUCAGGCUCUUUUGUUGGGGAUAGGGACCCCCUUUGGUUGAGUACCUCUGGCUUAGUUGUCUACUCAAGUGAGGCUAUAAGAUGGGCUCCGUGCUGCCUGGAUCUGCCAUCCAUGGCAGGGCAUUAGGAUGGGACCCAGGUCCUGCAAUACUCAUUGCUUGGGGACCCACUUAAUUCUCUGAUCAGGUAAUGUGACCAGUUCUGCUCUGCAGACAGGGAAAACCACAAGUUGUGCUCUCUGUUCAAGUGCCAGUGUGAGCAUGGCUGUUGGAUAGCCUAUGCUGCUUCCCAUAUGCUUGAGUUAGGUUCCUGGUCAGGCAGGCUGAAGGCAAGGAGUUGUAUUCAGCAAUGAGUUGGGCUAUAAAUUUGUUUCCCUGGCCAGGAGCAUUGAAAGAGCAGCUCUAAGAGCUGUAAAGCUCUUUGACUUAAGCCAACCCAUACCGCAAGUUCCCUGGCCAAAAAGGGCCCCUGGCUUUGCUUUGCACACUAUUGGCUAUGCCUGCCAGUCCUUCAACUCAAAUAUUACUGGCUUGUGCAGCUUCCAGGUGUUCUCACUAACCCUUCUUCUCAGAUGGGACCAGGAGACACUUUCCACAGCAGGUGGGGCUGCUGUGUCUCCAUUCCCUUGUCUGGUGGAACAGACUGGGGCUACUCUGGGCCUCUCCACUUUUUACCAAGCAGGCUUUCUUGUUCGGAGGAGUUGAGCUCCCUUCAGCCGUGGCUAUGAGUGAUUUCUUUGCAUGGGUAUAGCAGAAUUCUCCAAGCCCUUACUGGAUUUGGUCCUUGGUGUUGGCUUCCAUUCACCUCUUAGCUGGAGCAGUGCUGGGCUACACAGCUUCCAAGUGCUCUCAGCCCCUUUGGCCGGAUGGGACCAGGCAACACUCCCCAGUGGGUGGGACUAUGACUCAGCUUUUUUCAUGGGUGUUGGGAGCCCAGACAAUUAGAGUGGUAAAACUCCUCAUUUGAGGAACUAAAGCAGACAGAUCUGCACCCCAAUGAGUUCCCUGGUCAGAGUGCCCCACCAACUUGGUUCUGUAGGUAAUCAAAACUGCUGGUUGGUAAUGACCUCCAUCUGCCAAGAUCCACGUGCUGGUUAUUGCAAGUUCUUUUCCCAUUCUCCUUCAUAGUCAGAUUCCCAGUGGUUCUCCUGCAAUCCCCAUAGGGGAGACCAGAGUAAGGACUCCCACGAUGUGAUGCACAGGUCUGGGGAGCUGAUUGAAACUCCUGUGCUCUUUCCCACUGGAGGAAUCAAAGGCUUAGGGAAGACGUCUCAGCAGGGUGCUGUGUUAGCCUGAGGGAGGGGCAAUGCUGUCACUGUGUAACUGCUUCUCUUGUCCUUCAUAUAUUUGUCCUGAUAUCUGUGGUGCAGCUUAACCCUAAUGUUCUAGAAUUCCCCCAUCAGUGUCUUGUUCAUGGAGAACUGUUGUUCUUCUUUUGAGGGGGAGCAUAGUCAGGGAUGACCUAUGUCACCAUCUUGGUGACUUUGAUCUCCAGGUAUAAUCCGCAGGCCUCUCCAUGUGAAGCGAAUGGCACUGAGCAGCAGACAGGAAUGAGCUUCCUGUGGGCAGCUGGCUGCCCAAGUGUGAGAAAGAAGCAGAGUCCACACCACUCUUUUGGUCACAUGGCUUGAUGAGAAGAUAAAGAUGAAGGGAAUUGUCCACUAGAAAAAAAAUGCACAACCUAAAAGUUGAGAGUUAUGUUUCAUUGGGUGGACAAACCUCAGGAUUUAAGCUUGGGACACAGCAUCUCAGAGAACUCUGAGACUGCUCAGAAGAGGCAAGGGGGAGAGCCAGAAUAUCUAGGAGUUUUUAGAAUAAAGUCCAGGUAGUUGAAACAUCAAAGAUUACUGUUAACUUGAGAUAAUCUGGUUUUCUUUGAUUAAGGAAUUUAGCACUUAUUUAUGUAUGAGAAGAUGCAAGAGCCUGGGUUCACUGAAAUCAUUUCUUUUUUGUUUUUCCUCUUACAGCCACAUCUGUGGCAUAUGGAAGUUCCUGGGCUAGGAGUCAAAUCAGAGCUGCAGCUGCCAGUCUACAGGCACAGCANNNNNNNNNNNNNNNNNNNNNNNNNNNNNNNNNNNNNNNNNNNNNNNNNNNNNNNNNNNNNNNNNNNNNNNNNNNNNNNNNNNNNNNNNNNNNNNNNNNNNNNNNNAACCACAAAGGGAACUCCUGAAAUCACUUCUUUACUACAUAGCUUAGCUAUCUGAGGCCAGUAUCCUAUGCUUUCUUAUCCUGAGUUUCCUCAGGUGCACUGUGGGGGCUGAGGGUGUGUGGCUGCAGCAUCUGAUGGGUUCUAUGGUGGGCCUUCUGUUUCUGAGCUCCCUCAGGGCUCACCUUCAGGGCAGCUGUACUGUCUGAUGGCUGCAACAUCCUUUGUUUACUGAUAGGGCAGGCAGCCUUCUUAGUCCACAGAACUCUCAGUCUAAAACCUAAUACUAAGCUUUACUAGGGCAAAUUUCUGGUGUAAAACAAAUCUCUUGAAACAUGCUCUCCAAAGACAGAGCCAAGAGACCCAGAUACCUUUCAUGGUUCAUGUGUGGAGACCAUAUAAUAAAGUGAGGAAGCACAUGUGUGUUGGCUCAGCCACUGACUUGGGCUCUGAUUCUGCCACUUCCUUAUUUUGGGAGCCUGGGCAGAUAUCAAUGAGAUAUGUUUCAUCUGUUCAAUGAGGACAACACCCAUCUCUAGGGGCUAUUAUGAGAAUUAAAUGCAAUCUUACAUGUACAGUGUUUGAGAAGGAGUGCAUAAAUGGUAGAAUUCUUUAUUAUAGAAGACUUUUAAUUCAGAAGAGUCUAUAGAGGAUUUUCAGCUUUCCUGUGAAGACAUUCCUCCAUUUGGCUCACAGGGAGACUGAGCCCUGAGAGUCAAUAGGUUUCUCAUCCUAUAUUUUCUUGUUUUCUCAAAUCUCAAAUUUUGCUACAAAUAAUUACUUAGUGUCCCGGAAAGAUGGGAGGAAAAUGAUUUCAUUAAGCUUCUGCAACCCUAAGAUAUGAAUAACAUUAAUGGCCACGAACUUUUAAGCUUGAGCUCAAUGAGCCACUGCUUAUACCAACCCCAUAGCCCUUCACUAUUAUCCUAAAAAUGUUUGGUUCAUGUCUUUGAUUGGGUCUGAAAUCUCUGGACACUAAACAAUGAUGUGUUGACUCUGAAAACAGCUUGACCAUCAACAAUCUAACAGUCAUAAAAGAGCCAUAAAGUGCUGUUUGUGUAGCCUGUAAUAUUGGUGUUAUUCAUGGUGGCCAGAUAAAUUAUGGAAGUGCCACAAUGUUGGGCAGUGAAAUCUGGAUGGCUCAUCAGCUGGACCAGCCUGUAGAGAGCUGCAAGGGAAACCAUUCUUUCUAGAUGAAGCAAAUCUGAUCAGCAUUUUUAGCCUCUUGGCAAAAGCAACAGUGAGUGAUCCAGGAAACCAAAUGCCAUUCCUGUUCCCAUUGACUCCUUUAAACAAGCUCCUGCUGGGCACAUUUUGGGAGGUAGGCUCUACUUGGCCAAUAGAUGUUAUUUAGUUAAGGGAGGAGGUCAUUGAUCUAAAACUUUUUCUUGGAAGGAUUUUUGAAAAGAUAGUCACAGAAACUAAACAUUAGUAUGUAAAUGUGGCUUUACCGUCCCCAUCCCUCCAGGCUGAGCCCUAUUACACUGCCUUAAACCUACACACUCUGAUGCCCACCCAGUAGUUCCACACUCCCUAAUGUCAUUGUGUUCCAAAAUAUCUUAGCUUCCUCUACCAUUCUUUUCCUCAUCAGGAAGUUGGUCUCCAUUACAGCCUGGGAGAGAAUGACUGAACUCAAACUGAUUCACAAUGUGUUAGUAACUGACAGUCUUUAGUACCAAUGCCACAGAAUUUGCAUUUUAAAAGAUAACAUCCCUUUUGUCACAUAAAUCUAUAAUUGGUAAAAUUUCAAGCUGAGUGAAAAGAGAAAAUAAGAAACCCCAGAAUGGAUCUCCCUUGCUGUUGUUUCACAGCUUUUCCUAUUUUUUAAAUCAUUCAUUCAUUUAUUCAUCAAUAAGUAUUUGAGAGCCUAUAAUAUCCUCAUUGAUGUUCUUGGAGUUUAAAUACAUCAGUAAAUAAAACAAAGAUCUAUAACUUUGGAUGGCA